UAUCGAGUAGGGAUUUGUUUUUUCUUUUUCUAUCUUUCCUCCUUUCUUUCUUUCUUUCCUUCGUUCUUCUCCCCCUAAAGAUUCAUGAAUUAGAUUUGGUAUAAUACGAGAUGAGUUUUCUGCGAAAUUACGAAAAAAAUGUGAGAAAUUUUGAGAAAGGAGCAUAUUUCUCACGUGGAAUCGCGCAUAUAAGGUUCAUUUACUGUAUCUUUACUAAAUCAGGAUGCGAAGGAGACAGAAAUACUAAAACGAA
rnacentral:lncRNA from 1 species